UCAAGCGCCCGGCACUGGUAGUCCACCUACCGUCUCGCCGUACGCCAGGAAAUACAGGGCUACCAUCGAGUCAUACUGCAGGGCUUUGGGACGAGAUCCUCAGCUUCCCACACCUCGCUUUUGCAUGCCCUCAUCUGGUGUCUGAUAAUCCUUACACCAGGGGAGAAAAUAGCUGGUGACGACGACGAAUAUGCAGCAGAGCAAGCUAUGGAUGGAGGAGGGAGGUCCGGGCUCUGCCUUCACAUGCACCCAAGAAGAAGAAGAAAAGUGCGCGCGCCGUGCAAAUUGUAUUUAUGUUAAGUGAUAAAUUUUAUAGUUUUUAUUAAAGACCUAAGUUCGCAUGGUAUUGCUUACAACUUCGUCCCCGCUUCAUGUAAAAAUGUUAAUCCGAGAAUACCAUGGCUGGAGCACCAAGGCUUAUAAUUAAGCACGCUCUCACCCCCUAAACUUUUAAAGUAGUGAAAGGUUUUAAGCGGGCUAGGGUGUUACAGUUUAUGUUUUGUUGAACGAUUUCUGUAAGUUGAUUUUGUUCUAUCAAUCUAUUUAUCUAC
rnacentral:lncRNA from 1 species